rnacentral:lncRNA from 1 species
AGUAACACUUACUGUUGACAGGCCCUAUUCCCCGAUAUAGAACACGACGUUACUGUUGACCAGAGCCCUAUUCCCUAUAUAGAACACUACUGUUGACCAGAGCCCUAUUCCCUAUAUAGAACACUACUGUUGACCAGAGCCCUAUGGGUCCUGUAGUAUCCUUAAAGGCUUCUUAGAGUUGCGACUCAUGAGACUUAAGUACGGUUUAGUAUUUAAUUGUAACUUAGAAUAACAUUCUCCAACGCACCUGGCUUAAGCUACCUGAAAGCUUUCUUAAUCACAGUUAUAUAGGCAGACACAGGAAAUAGCUACGGAUAGCGGGAAGCAAACCCCCGUCUUGAGUCAAUACUGCCAUCUAUUGGUAAACACAAAUAUACCAGGUUACUAAAGGUCCUAUAUCAGGAAUAGGGAGCCGUUUGGAUGGCAGUAGGAACAGUAAAGGAACAGUAAAUAGUGUACAUACCAGAACGGUGUAGAUGUGCAGACAUCUGUAAACAGGAGAGAAGUCCACCAGGUCCUGGGCUGUUAAUACCUGGGAGGUUAAACCACGUUAUGUUAGAUAACACAGUCAGGAGGUUAAACCACGUUACGUUAGAUAACACAGUCAGGAGGUUAAACCAUGUUACAUUAGAUAACACAGUCAGGAAGUUAAACCACGUUACAUUAGAUAACACAGUCAGGAAGUUAAACCACUUUACAUUAGAUAACACAGUCAGGAAGUUAAACCACUUUACAUUAGAUAACACAGAUGAUCCCUUGGGCUUUUCUUGUAGAUAAUGUACAGGGGUCCUUCACAUUAGGUUGGAUAACUUCACUGUGUUGAAAAAGAGGUCUGAAAAGUUACUUUGAAGAAGAGUCCUCUCUCACCUCCUCCUCCGAUUGGUCCUCCUCCACUCCCUCCUCCUCUGGUUGGUCUACUCCCUCCUCCGCCGCUAGGCGUUGUGCUGCGUUGGCGUCCGGCCGUUCAGGGAGUAGACUGGCUUGGUGUAGCCCAUACCACUGUCAUGCUUCUGAACCACAAUGUUAACGUCCUGUGCUGCUGAGCCUGGGAGGUACAGACAACACAGUCAGACCUCUCUCCUUCUCAGAGCAAGCUUCCUAGCAUAAGAUCAGACAUUUUUUGUUCAUUUUCUAUAAUUGUUAAGAUUUUUGAUUUAUUUCACCUUUAUUUAACCAGGUAGGCUAGUUGAGAACAAGU